CACCGCCUGGGGAGUACGACCGCAAGGUUAAAACUCAAAUGAAUUGACGGGGACCCGCACAAGUAGUGGAGCAUGUGGUUUAAUUCGAAGAUACGCGCAGAACCUUACCAACACUUGACAUGUUCGUCGCGACUUUAAGAGAUUAAAGUUUUCGGUUCGGCCGGACGAAACACAGGUGCUGCAUGGCUGUCGUCAGCUCGUGUCGUGAGAUGUUGGGUUAAGUCCCGCAACGAGCGCAACCCUCACUUUUAGUUGCCAUCAUUUAGUUGGGCACUCUGAAAGAACUGCCAGUGAUAAGCUGGAGGAAGGUGGGGAUGACGUCAAGUCCUCAUGGCCCUUACGUGUUGGGCUACACACGUGCUACAAUGGUAUUUACAACAGGAAGCAAGACGGCGACGUUAAGCAAAUCCUCAAAAAAUACCUCAGUUCGGAUUGCACUCCGCAACUCGAGUGCAUGAAGCUGGAAUUACUAGUAAUCGUGGAUCAGCGUGCCACGGUGAAUGCGUUCCCGGGUCUUGUACACACCGCCCGUCACACCAUGGGAGUUGGUUCUACCUUAAGGCAAGGUUUAAUAUCCUUGACCACGGUAUAGUCAGCGACUGGGGUGAAGUCGUAACAAGGUAGCCGUAGGGGAACCUGCGGCUGGAUUACCUCCUUUCUAAGGAUGAAUGAAAUUUAGAUUUCAUUCUAAAUAAUAUACAUAGGUGAUGUUGACCGUCCUCAUUUCUCUUCUUGAAUUAGUGUUUCUCUUGCAUGGGGGCCGGUAGCUCAGUUGGUUAGAGCACACCCUUGAUAAGGGUGGGGUCGAAAGUUCGAGUCUUUCUCGGCCCACCAAUUAAAGAUCAUGGGGGAUUAGCUCAGCUGGGAGAGCGCCUGAUUUGCAUUCAGGAGGUCAGCGGUUCGAUCCCGCUAUCCUCCACCAAAAACACUUAGUUAUAAAAAAUUGUAAAUAAAAAUAAUAAUUAAUAUCAAUAUCUAUAUCCGAACAUUAGUAAUGUUAUUAGCUAAUGUUCAAAAUAAAAAUUUGAUUCAACACAGAAUUUUUUUCUG
rnacentral:sRNA from 1 species